UUUGGCUGGGAAUUCAAUCCCUUGGUCCAGUCCGUGCCCCCCGGAAUGGAAAGACCAGGACGUUAAUUAACAUGCUGGGAGAUAAUUUAUUCAUGGCCUUAAUCACCCCUGACGAACGAGGAUCCGGGAAUCCCUGAUCCCAGCAAUCGAUCCCAGGGAUUGAGGUAUUCCUUAAUUUCCUUGGUGUUGUCACCUGCAAACAGGACAAGGAGAAUUCCAUAGGGAUAUUCCCGGGAAGCUGAAGCCCAUCCUCCGCCGGAGCCGAGUUAUCGCUUCCAGCCGGGAAUGCUGACGGUGCCAGAAUUUUGGGAGAAAAGAAAACUUUUUGUGUAACUCCUGGAGCUGUGGAUUCCGAGUGACUCAUCCUGAGGGAAGGACUGCACAAGACGAUCUAAAAAUAAGGACCAGGAGAAGCUCCAGCGGAUCUGUCACGGCCAGCCUGGAGCUGGAAAACUGAUCCCAGCUCAUCCCAAAUUGUAC